CGUGAGUCAGCCAGAAUUCCAGGAGUGAAACAGUAUAAUAAGAUGAACGUGAACACAACUGGAAGUCGGUGCUGAAUACCUGACUGAAGUACUGGACACGCUGGGGCUGUGGGGAUUACCUGCCAGGACACUCAACCCUUCAAUAUAAGCAGCUGAGGGCAAAAUAAACAGCCGCAGAAGAGUGGAUUCUGAAAUGGGGAGCUCAGAAGUGUCUGAACAGGACAGGUGUGAAAGCGUGGAACUCGAUAGUAGCAUAAGAUUUCUUAUUGCUGAAAGAAAUGCUUCCCUCUGGAGAGGAGAAACUGCUUGGAGGCAUUGUGCAACAUUGCAGAAUGUUGAUGUACCGAAGGAUUUAGGAGACACAAGACACUUACGCAGAAUGGCUGGAAAGCAGACAGAUUUGCAGCAAACCGACACGGGGGAGGGUACGGAUUUGAAGGGAAACCAAAUGCAGGCCUCCGCAGAAGAUUUAAAACAACGGAUCAAGAUUCUCGAAAAACAAAGACAAGAGCUACUUGAAGUAAAUAAGAAAUGGGAUGAGCACUCUAAAAUCACGAAGCAGCGAUAUGAACAGAAGUUUUCAGAGACAAAGCAUACAUUGGCUGAUUGUCACAAACACACCGCUGACCUAGAAGUGGAACGAGACCAGAAGCAGAGAGAUUUUGAUAAGAAGCUCGUCCUGGCCAAAGAAAUGAUUGAAAAAAAGCAGGAAGAGAAUGAGAGAAUCAGUAUAGCCUUACAAGAAGCAAAAAGACAGAACCAAUGUCUAAAGGAACAGAAUGCCUCCCUAACAAGAAAGAAGGAACACCAUGAAUGUGAAAUUGGACGACUGAACAAGGCCCUUUCAGAAGCCCUUAGAGUGUCAAGUAGAAACGCUGGCAGAGAAGAGAUGGUGACACAGAUUGAAGUCCUACAGCAGCAGGUGCAGAUCUAUGAGGAAGACUUCAAGAAGGAAAGGUGCGAUAGGGAACGACUUAUUAAAAAAAAUGAAGAACUGCAGUCUGAGCUGCACGUGCUUAAGUCUCAGCUGGCUGCCAGCCCACAUAUCUCCCCGCCUUGUUGCUGCUCUCAGUGGGUAGCAUUUCCUCACAGGGCCAAUGUCUAUGGAUCGUCAUCACACUACACAGACCCCAGGAGUCCACGCAUCCACCAUGAUGGGCAGGAGCAUCAGCAGCACCCAUCAAACUACCAGUGGUUUGUUUCCUCCUCUGACCGUCCCCCUGCAGCUGUUCAGCACGUCCCUCUGAACCGCACAGCAAGCAGUAAGGCUCCUUACCUCAUUAUGCAUUUACAUUGUUUCGUUUGUAUGAAGUGCCACAAGUUUUUGGGCUGACAUGUUUUUAUGGAAAAAUGAUUCAAAUUUAAGUCUGGGAUUAAUUAACUGGUAUUCUGUUAAACUAUAUAAUAAAAUGAAAGUAGAACAAGCUAUUUCCAGAUGAGUUCAUGGUCACUGUAUAAUUAAAUUAAGGUGGACACAAACAUGGCAGUAUUUAUUGUCUCAUACAUCUGAGCUUGUUUUAGUUUUUUAGGAACAAUAUAAAAGCACAAAAGUGUGAUUUCAUCUCCAAUGAUACUGUCUGUUAAAGUCAUGAAUGAGUUCAUUCUCAGAUUAUCCCAGUAAUGCUUGACUUGUCCAGUAUAUUUCAGAAACCAUGACCAAAGCUCUCACUUACUUCUACCCUGACACACAUUCCUGUAGGAAAAGGAGUUGACUACACAGAAAAGUUAAUUAUACAAGAUAACGUUUCUGUGGGGUGGGGUGUCAUCAAAUGAUUGUGUUUCUGAGAUUGCAUUUUAUCCCACGUGCCAGUCCAACAGCUUGUGUGCACUUUGUGACACUUGGUAAACUCUCAUUACAUUAUCGUCAAACUUGCUGUGAGAAGGAAAUAUCUCAGUUCUCUUAACUAAUGCAUUGUAGCGGUUGUUUAGAUUCACAUUGUAUUAUCUAUACUAUUCUGUUUCACUCAUUGCAUCCAGGGUGACCUCUUAGAGCUCAGAUGUUAAACGCACACCUAUAGCCUCUGAGGAGCUCACAAACAUGUCUCAUCUCUAAGGACAACUGAUACACCAAAGUGUAACCAGUAACCUGCAAAGAAAUGAUAUGCAGAGGUUCUAAACAACAAGAAUACAUUUGUUAAGAUGCUAACUGUGCUACUGAACAACUAGUAUCACAAGAAACGAUAAACUAUAGGCACAUGCUGCCACAUGUUAUGUUCAUUGUAUUCUGUGCAAUACUGAUUUCUGUUGAAUGUAAAUGUAUAGUAAAUAGCUGUGACAUUCAGAUAUAUCAGUUGUUAUCUUUACAACAAAAAACUAAUAAUUUGAAUCAUAGUUUCAAUUCUAUUUUUAUAAUAAAAGACCAUAGAUUGUUAUCUA